GAGAAAUUACUCCCAAAAUGGUCCGAUUCUUGGAGAAAUUACUAUCAAAAUGGCCCGAUUCUUGGAGAGAUUACUCUCAAAAUGGCCCGACUACCGGAGAGACCAACUUAAGGUGCAAAAGGACUCAUAUGUCCACCUUAAGAUUGGAAAGUUAUAGUUCCUUUUAUGGACAAACCUACAAAGAGACAAACUUAAGGUGCAAAGGUACUUAUAUGUCCACCUUAAGAUUGGAAAGUUAUAAAGCUCCAACUCGAAGACAACGUCAACUUGAACACUUGGAAAACUUUGAAGAUUCGGACUUUGCAGACUUCAACUCGAAGAUUCGGAUGGCUUAAACGAUUCAACUUUAAGACCGACGAAUUUGAAGACUGAAACUUGAAGACCGACAAACUUGAAGACUUCAACUUUGAGACUUGGAGGGCCUCAAUAUUUCAACUUGACGAUCACCGAAUUUGAAGACUUCAAUUUUGAGAGUUGGAAGGUCUAAAUAUUUCAACUUGAAGAUCACCGAAUUUGAAAACUUCAACUUUGAGAAUUGGAGGGCCUAAAUAUUUCAACUUGAAGAUUAGCGGAUUUGAAGACUUUAACUCGAAGAACGGCAGGGUUGAAGAUUUCAACUUGGGGACUUCAACUUGAAUACACUUGAAGACUUCGAGGGCUUAAAUGUUUCAACCUCUCUUUUGCUUUAUAUUGUUUGACUUUUAUCUUAAUUGCAUAAUUUUCAACUUUACGUGCUUGUAACAAAUGAUUCAUAUCUUAUCG
rnacentral:lncRNA from 1 species